AAGUCGUAACAAGGUUUCCGUAGGUGAACCUGCGGAAGGAUCAUUAUUGAAAAACUAAUUUUAGUUUUUUAUAUCCCUUUGUUUACCUACCCUGUUGCUUCCACUCUUAAUUGCCUAAGGCCAAGUUGGUCGAGGUGAUGGGUGGAAAGAUUCAUAAUCAAAAGAUUUGAAAAAAAUGUCUGAUAAACCUAUAAAAGGGAAAAUAAAACUUUCAACAACGGAUCUCUAGGCUCUUGCAUCGAUGAAGAACGCAGUGAAAUGCGAUAAGUAAUGUGAAUUGCAUAAUCUCGUGAAUCAUUGAAUCUUUGAACGCACAUUGCGCCCUAUGGUAUUCCGUAGGGCAUGCCUGUCUGAGCGUCAGCUCCCCCCUCCUCAAGCCUUUUCAUUAAAGCUUGGAUUCUUUUAAAAAAGUGACUGAAAUACAAUACGUUACUCUUUAGAAAUUUAUAGGCAGUAUGGCACCUGAACCAGGCGUAAUAAGGAUAUAAAAGCGUCUCUCUUUGGGAAAGUUGUACUUGCCUCAACCACACCCAUUUUCUUCUGGGUGACCUCACAUCAGUAGGGAUACCCGCUGAACUUAA
rnacentral:rRNA from 1 species